rnacentral:rRNA from 1 species
AUUGAACGCUGGCGGCAUGCCUUACACAUGCAAGUCGAACGGCAGCACGGGUGCUUGCACCUGGUGGCGAGUGGCGAACGGGUGAGUAAUAUAUCGGAACGUACCUUAUCGUGGGGGAUAACGCAGCGAAAGCUGUGCUAAUACCGCAUACGCCCUGAGGGGGAAAGCGGGGGACCGCAAGACCUCGCGCGAUUAGAGCGGCCGAUGCCUGAUUAGCUUGUUGGUGGGGUAAAAGCCCACCAAGGCGACGAUCAGUAGCUGGUCUGAGAGGACGAUCAGCCACACUGGGACUGAGACACGGCCCAGACUCCUACGGGAGGCAGCAGUGGGGAAUUUUGGACAAUGGGGGCAACCCUGAUCCAGCAAUGCCGCGUGAGUGAAGAAGGCCUUCGGGUUGUAAAGCUCUUUUGUCAGGGAAGAAACACCGGCUCUAACACAGUCCGGGAAUGACGGUACCUGAAGAAUAAGCACCGGCUAACUACGUGCCAGCCGCCGCGGUAA